rnacentral:rRNA from 1 species
AGUGAACGCUGGCGGCAGGCCUAACACAUGCAAGUCGAACGGCCGCACAGUAAGUGCUUGCUCUUACGGGUGGCGAGUGGCGGACGGGUGAGGAAUGCAUCGGAAUCUACUUGUUCGUGGGUGAUAACGUCGGAAAACUUACGCUAAUACCGCAUAAGUCCUACGGGUGGAAGCAGGGGAUCUUCGGACCUUGCGCGUUUGAAUGAGCCGAUGUCGGAUUAGCUAGUUGGCGGGGUAAAGGCCUACCAAGGCGACGAUCCGUAGCUGGCCUGAGAGGAUGAUCAGCCACACUGGAACUGAGACACGGUCCAGACUCCUACGGGAGGCAGCAGUGGGGAAUCUUAGGCAAGGGGCGCAAGCCUGAUCCAGCCAUACCGCGUGAGUGAUGAAGGCCUUCGGGUUGUAAAACCCUUUUGUUGGGAAAGAAAAGAAGCAGUUUAAUCGCCGGCUGUUCUGACGGUACCCAAAGAAUAAGCCCCGGCUAACUUCGUG